rnacentral:rRNA from 1 species
GUCUGGCCUGCCCACUGAAUUUUAAAGGGCCGCGGUAUCUUGACCGUGCGAAGGUAGCAUAAUCAUUAGUCUUUUAAUUGUGGGCUGGAAUGAAUGGUCGGACAAGAAGUGAGCUGUCUUUUUUAUAUAUUUUGAAUUUUACUUUUAAGUGAAAAGGCUUAAAUAUUUUUAAGGGACGAUAAGACCCUGUAAAACUUUACAGUAAUAUAAAUAUUCUUAGAAUUGGUUUAAAAAUUAGUUUAUUUAGUAGCUGUUUUGUUGGGGCGACAAAGAUAUAAAGAUUAAUGUAACUGUUUGAUAAAUAAAAUAAAUAUUUUUAGUUUAAUUGAUCCUUUUUUAAGGAUUAAAAGAUUAAGUUACUUCAGGGAUAACAGCGUAAUUUUCUCUGAGAGUUCUUAUCGAUGAGAUUAGUUGCGACCUCGAUGUUGAAUUAAAGUUUCUAUCAAAUGCAGCAGUUUGAUUAGAAGGUCUGUUCGACCUU